UCCACCAUGGUGUAGUGGUUUGCACAUUGGACUACAACUCUGGAGAGCAGGGUUCGAAUCCCGGCUCAGCAA